UGUUCGUGUUUGUGAAGCCCUUGGCAGGUGUUUGUUGUGAAGCCUAUGUCAGGUGUUUGUGAAGCCUAUGUCAGGUGUUUGUGAAGCCUAUGUCAGGUGUUUGUGAAGUGUUUUUUAAGCCUAUGUCAGGUGUUUGUAAAGUGUUUGUUAAGCUUAUGUCAAGUGUUUGUUAAGCAUAUGUCAGGUGUUUGUGAAGCCUAUGACAGGUGUUUGUGAAGUGUUUGUUAAGCUUAUGUCAGGUGUUUGUGAAGUGUUUGUGAAGCCUACGUCAGGUGUUUGUUAAGCUUAUGUCAGGUGUUUGUGAAGCCUAUGUCAGGUGUUUGUGAAGCCUAUGUCAGGUGUUU